rnacentral:rRNA from 1 species
UACGUAGGGGGGCUAGCGUUGUCCGGAAUCAUUGGGCGUAAAGCGCGUGUAGGCGGUCCGGUAAGUCCGCUGUGAAAGUCGGGGGGCUCAACCCUCGAAAGCCGGUGGAAACUGUCGGGCUAGAGUACGGAAGAGGCGAGUGGAAUUCCUGGUGUAGCGGUGAAAUGCGCAGAUAUCAGGAGGAACACCAAUUGCGAAGGCAGCUCGCUGGGACGUUACUGACGCUGAGACGCGAAAGCGUGGGGAGCAAACAGG